UGAUGAGGUGGCCACAGGGACCAAGAG
rnacentral:piRNA from 1 species